rnacentral:lncRNA from 1 species
GUUUCGUCCAUGUUGGCUGCUGAAUUCUUUUUCUGUCUUUCUUUUUUUUUUUUUUUUUUUUUUNUUUUGGUCUUUUUAGGGCCGCACCUUCAGCAUAUGGAGGUUCCCAAGCUAGGGGUUGAAUCCAAGCUGUAGCUGCCAGCCUAUACCACAGCCACAGCAAUGCCAGAUCCGAGUCUCAUCUGCAGCUAUGCCACAGCUCAUGGCAAUGCCAGAUCCGUAACUCACUUAGCAAGGACUUGGGUUCGAAUGGCCUUGUUCAGUGGGUCAAGGAUCUGGCAUUGCUGUGAGCUGUGGUGAAGAUUGAAGACGUGGCUUAGAUCUGGUGUUGCUGUGGCUAUGGUGUAGGCUGGCAGCUGUAGCUCCAAUUCUAUCCCUAGCCUGGGACCCUCCAUAUGCCUUGGGUGUGGCCCUAAAAAGCAAAAACCCAAAAAACCAACAACCAAACAAACAAAAACAUAGUUUGGACAUAUCCAGCCCACUUGGAUAUUACCUCUUGCAGCUCUGAAAACCCAUCUUGUCAUGUUGUUCCUUCAAGAACAGUCUGCCUUGGAUACUAUUUGCUAAUGUCUCUAAAUGAUCUCUUCUAACAGACUGUAAGCUCCCAGAGGGCAGGAGCCAUUUUAUUCACAUUUUAUUUCGGUCUGUAAUGACCUCACUGUGUACCCUGCCCCAAGUACUUUCAUGUCUACCUUUUUACACUGUUUGCAUGUCUUCCCUCUCCGAUAAGCUAUGAACUGCUCAAGAGCAAGUGUAAACACCCAGGUACAUUCUUACUACCACAUCCUGUUCUGGGGCACUGGUCAAAUUCAUGUCCAUGUGAAAGCCACUCUCGUUUUUGGCAAAAUCCUUCUGGACCUGUGCUGGUUUACUCCCUUGGGUCAGGAGCCAGAAUUUUAAUUCCGCAAUUUUAUUGCACACAAAGUGUUUCCACAACAUAACUCAAUACUGGGCAUGAUGUAGGUCAGUACAUAUGUAUGAACUACGGUUGAGGAUAUUAGAGUUAUAAGUUGUGCAGUCCUGUGAUGUUUGAUUUUUUUUUUCUUUUCUUUUUUUUUAUGGCCACAUCCACGGCAUAUGGAGUUUGCAGGCUAGGGGUUGAAUGGGAGCUGCAGCUGCCAGCCUAUGCCACAGCCACCGCGACUCAGGAUCCAAGCUGCAUCUGAAGCUUGUGGCAAUGCCGAAUCCUUAACCCAUUGAGUGAACCCAGGGAUCGAACCCGCCUCCUCACAGACAUUAUGUUGGCUUCUUAACCCACUGAGCCACAGUGGGAAUUCCACAUUCAAUUUUUGUAAAAGGUUAGUUUGUGUACAGAGAGCAAUGCCGUGGUUUUAUGGCAGUGUAGAGAGUGUUGGUAAUUGAGAGUAUAUGAUAUAUACAGCUUUACUACAUUUCUUCUGUCUUCUAUGCAAUGAAAAUAAGAAUGCUAACCACCAUUAAAAAGUAUCGUAUUUAUUUUACACAGUAUAACUUCUCAUUGACUAAAUAAAUCUGUGAGCCUUCAGGGUUGGCCAUCUCCUUUGAUUGAAACUGGCCUAUUUGAUUGAUUCUAGACUAAGGGUCUGUUUUGAAGAACAGGGAGAUAGUUUGUAAUUAUGCCCUGGAAAGCACACAAUUUCAUUUUCUUCACUGUGGCUGUGCUGGAAGGAACACUGAGCACAGAUCGCUUCUUCUGUCCUGUUUCUUCCUUCCUUGUUGCAUCUGGUCAAUUCUAACAAACACUCCUAAUGACCAGGCUAUAUCGGCAUUACCUAGUCAAGUAGCCUAUUCAGUUUGCUCAAAAGAGCACAGACAUAAUCAAGCAUUUGGCUGAAUGCACAAUUCACACUGAAUAGGGCAAAUAUUUGGAUUCAAGUAUAGGUCAGCAGCAACCAAUUGAAAUAUUGAUAAAGGAAGCCUGUGGGAACUAAAUGUACAUAAAAGAAGGAAAGAGAAAAAAGGAGGUCCUUAAGAGGUGAACCAGGGCAACAAGACCACAGGGGCAAUUUCUCUUCCAUAAGAGGUAGGUGGCUUAGCUCAGGACAUUAGCAAAGCCAUCAUGGACAGCCUGUUAUUCGAGCUUCAGAGAGCCGUAUGUUCAAACCGUUUUGUUUGGUUCCAAAGUGGAAUUCAUAAUUUAUCAUGAAACUUUCUAAUAGGAACGCCCCCCUCCCCCCGCCCUUGCCCUCCCAACUAUAUUUAAGAAGAGAAUUAGGCUAGAGUUUUUUUUUUUUUUUUAAUUGUCCUCUUCAGCCAUCAGAUAGCACUUGGGUAGGUUUUAUUAACUUGAAAACACUCCUGAACCCUGAGGAUUUUCUGGUAACCUCCUUGGCUCCAACCCCUGUUAUCCACUCACCCGCGACGCUUGGCAAGUCCAGACCUCUGUGGCCCAAAGUAAAUGUUUGCCACACUCACAGCCCACGUAUAAUGCCUUGCUUUAUGGCUGGUUUAAUUCUCAAACCUCUACUCUGCAUGUGGGCAUUAAGGCGCCAGUCCACCACUCAGUCGCAUCCUCUUCCUCCUAAAAGGGUCAGAAAUCCCAGUCUCUGACUUCACCAGAACACUUAGCUUUCUUAGCAGCCCCUCCUGAACCCCCACGGCCCCUCUCACCUCCCCACCCCUACCCUGCUCUGAAGGUCUAGCUUGGUCUCCCCAAGCUCUUCUUUGAAAACCUCCAAGGAGCUGUGAUUGGGCAAAGCGCCCCCUGCUGUUCCCACAGUCUUGCUCCCCUGCCCUUGGAAUUGCAGUGGCCAAGGGGAAGGUGGGUGCCAACUAAUGUCCCGGGCACUCAGAGCUUGGCUAAAGUUGUGGGCUGGAGAAAACCUUUUGAUAUCCAGGGUUCACCUGCCUCCAGCCUGCACCCCGAAGAUGGUAAUGUACUUAAGAGAAGAAGGGAUUGUCUCAAGCUUUCUCAGCUUCAUUGAGAGCAAGUUAAGGGAAAUGACUUUGAGCUCCAUGUCAUUUUUAGAUGAGAUAGAAAUUGUGAAACCAAUGAAAGACACACAUGGGAUAUAUAAUGAACUUCUCAGAAAUUUCUUCCAAAACCCAGUUAGAAAAUGUUGGUCUACUUGACAUUCUAUUCAUUAGGCCUCUUUAUUAAACCUGGAGUUUCAUUGGAAUUUAUUGGAUGAAGACAAUUGAAUUUUGAAACAAACAUAACAUCCUGCUGUGUUACGAUAUUAUCCUAACAAUGGUCCCUUGCAAUGCACGAUUUGAUUGGCACUGGCCUCUCAUCCCUUUGACAUUUCUUUCAUCCAUUCUGAGGAAUUUGGCCCUUUCUUCUGCCUUCUGUGCAUUUCUUGGAGCCUGGUAAGCCAUGCCUUUGUAAGUAACUCAGUAAACAAAAGAUGACACAGCUUCACUUGUUCAAAGGUAUCUACAUUUCUUAAAUCUUUUACAGUGAUUCAGGAGAAAAUACAGAAUUGGUUAUAUUGCUCUAGAAGAAUAUUUGCUGGACUAAUAGCAAAUCCGUACCCAGUUAUUCUAGUCCUGCACCUUUUUGUGGACACAAUAAUUUUUUGUUUCCAUGUUGAAUCAGAGUGGAAUUUUUUGAAAGCCAUCUUAAAGGGCACGUGAAUACCAAGAAUGCAUAUAACUCAAAGGAAGUGAUGGUGAUAUGAACAGCUCUAAGUUGGCAGAUGCAUAAUGUCAAAUAUGUGAAGACAGUCACCUGAUUGACAGCAAUUAUAAAAUGCCUUUGAUUCGUUAAGACACCCAAUUUUGUGGCUGUCAAAGUGGGAAAUGAUGUGCAUUUAAGAGUUGAUUAAAUAUGGUAUUUGCAUGAUGGGUGUUGAGAAGAGAGGUUUACAAAGGGGACAGUGACCCAGGUUUUUCUAGAACAGAACUUUGCAGAGCUGUAAGGAUGCAACUAGCUGGGAAGGAGUGUCCACUCUUGGUGUUCUGUGUAAUGACCUGUCUCCUGUGAGCUUCAUCACAAGCCCUCCAAGCAGACAUUAGGACCUGUGUUUACACUUGAAGAGGGAGCUUCAGGGAGGCAAAGGGCCUGCCCAGAUCACACCAUCCUUGGGAGGCAGGGAUUGGUGGUGAAGCCUAGACCCGUGUGGCUCCAGAGCAUGUGCUUUCCCUGUGCCACUCUGGGGUUGUGGUAGGGGAUUGUUAAGGGUUUGCUGGCAAUUCUGAAUGAAUGAAUUAACCACACGAAAUGAGGGUGGAGUGGGCCUGGACAAAUCAAAUUUUAAAACUAAUGCCUCCUUCAUCCGAGAACCGAAAUGAACGUAAGUGAUUACUGAAUAUUCCCUAGCACGUCUUGGGCAGAGUAUAUAUGACACAUUAGAAAAACCCUUUGGUUGAUCUCUAUCAUUUGGGGCCCAGAAAUUUAUGUCAUUAUCUAUCUAUCUAUCUAUCUAUCUAUCUAUCUAUCUAUCUAUCUAUCUAUCUAUCUAUCUAUCUAUCUAUCUAUUUAUCUUUCUAUCUACCUACCUAUAUAUCUAUAUAUAGACAUAUCUGCAAAGUAAAGAUAUGAAAUCAAAGUAGUCCAUUUACAAUUUUGGCAAAGUUCUAAAACCAUUCUCAACAAAUGGUUUGAAACAAAUGGAAUGAAAGGACCUAACCAUGACCCUAAAUUGACCUUUACAUACUCUCUCCAGCCCAGGAACAUCUUUUUUUCAUUAUUAUCCUACAUGUAAAGAUUUGUGGUAAGUGCAGUUGUACUGUAGUUUAACAAAUGAAGAAGCCUCUAAUGGUCAGGAGUGGUUGGUUAAUUGAGAAAGUCCAUCAAAUCAUAGACUUUUAAAAGGUAAAAUUUCGUUUAGAUUAUAGAUGUGUAUAUUCAUAUCAAUUUUAUGAUGUAAGCAUAUUGUCUUUUCUUAGCAAGGGUUCAUUGAUUAGAGCUAUCACUUGUUUUGCACAAGUUACAUCCUUGAAGCAUUGACACUGAUUGCCAGUUACGGUUUCCUUAAAAUGCAGAGACAUUGCAAACACAAUAAAAGUGCAGAAUUAUACCCCAACUUUCAUAGUAAUCUUACCCAUAUCUUAUUUGAUCAAAAAUGUUUUUUAGCAACUAUAUGUUUUUACCAUGUCUCUUUUUCUUUUCUUUUUUUUUCUUUUUAGGGCCACACCUAUGGCAUAUGGUGGUUCCCAGGCUAGGGGUCAACAGCAACAGAUCUGAGCUGCAUUUGCAUCCUCUACCACAGCUCACAGCAAUGCUGGUUACUUAACCCACCAAGCGAGUCCAGAGAUUGAACUUGCCUCCUCAUGGUUACUAGUCAGGUUUGUUACCACUGAGCCACAACGGGAACUCCCCAAGUCUCUUGAAGUAUUCAUGCCUUUUUUUUUUUUGGGUACUCAUUCAUUCAUAGAUUUAGUCAAUAUUUAAUCAGCUAAAUUAUUAUGCCAACUCCUACUUGGGAUUACAGUCACUACAUGACCUGACAGCUCUCAGCCUGAAAGUGGAAGCUCUCCUUCCCCAUUUCCUCUUACAGCCUUUCCUUGAACAGAAUCCAUCUCUAUCGAAGCCCACCUAUGCAUCUGCUUCUCAAAAGACCUGCAACUGGCAGAGUGCACUUAUUUUAGAAAAAGAUGACUUGUAGAAAAAUAGGUAACAACUGAAACAAGAACUCAAGCUUUCAGGAGAUUUCCUGAAAUGAGAAUCCACCUUAAACGCGGUGUACACAGGCAUUUUCAAUGGUGAGAACUGUUUAGAAAGAGGACCCUGAAACUUGGCGGUAUUCUUAAAAGGUCAUUUAUUUAUUAAGUUAGGAAAUGGACAUGCAUGUUUACUAAGUACAUUUCUAUUAAUAUAGGCAUAUUAUAACCCCAUUAUGGGAAACUGGA